ACCCGGGUCCGGGCCCCUCUGGCGGUCGAGGCGUCGACCGUGAUGUCGGACCCCUUCU
rfam:Methylobacterium sp. 4-46, complete genome.